AUUGAACGCUGGCGGCAUGCCUUACACAUGCAAGUCGAACGGUAACAGGUUAAGCUGACGAGUGGCGAACGGGUGAGUAAUAUAUCGGAACGUGCCCAGUCGUGGGGGAUAACGUAGCGAAAGCUACGCUAAUACCGCAUACGAUCUACGGAUGAAAGCGGGGGAUCGCAAGACCUCGCGCGAUUGGAGCGGCCGAUAUCAGAUUAGGUUGUUGGUGAGGUAAAAGCUCACCAGGCCUGCGAUCUGUAGCUGGGCUGAGAGGACGACCAGACACACUGGAACUGAGAGACGGUCGAGACUCCGACGGGAGGCAGUAGUGGGGAAUGUUGGACAAGGGGCGCAAGUCUGAUCCAGAAAUGCCGCGUGCAGGACGAAGGCCUUAGGGUUGUAAACUGCUUUUGUACGGAACGAAACGGUGAGCUCUAAUACAGUUUGCUAAUGACGGUACCGUAAGAAUAAGCACCGGCUAACUACGUGCCAGCCGCCGCAGUAA
rnacentral:rRNA from 1 species